ensembl:misc_RNA Metazoa_SRP Metazoan signal recognition particle RNA
GCUGGGCGUGGUGGCGCACGCCUGUAGUCCCAGCUUCUUAGGAGGCUGAGGCAGGAGAAUCGCUUGAACCCGGGAGGUAGAGGCUGCAGUGAGUCUAGAUCACACCACUGCACUCCAGCCUGGGCAACAGAACGAGACUCCGUCUCAA